rnacentral:tRNA from 1 species
ACGGGUGUAGCUCAAUGGUAGAGCACUGGUCUCCAAAACCAGGGGCUGGGAGUUCGAGUCUCUCCACCCGUG